ACUUUCCAAUUGUUCAAAUAGAUGACAUUAAGUCCCCGAAUUCAAAGGAAAGAUCCACCUGACAUUAUGAAGUACUUCAAUUAUAUUAGCCUUGCUAUUUUGCUCUUAAUGGCUGGUGUUUCUGCCACUAUUACUUUGACCCAGCCUCCUGAAGCACUGGCACUUCCAGGGAGAUCCAUUACUCUGACUUGCACAGUAUCAGGAUAUGAUAUCAAUGACCACCAUCUGAGCUGGAUUCGUCAAUCUAAUGGCAAAAAGCUUGUCUUUAUCACAUCCUUCAGGACUGGAUAUACCACAUACACUGCCAAUGAAUUUAAGGGCCGUGUUACCCCGUCCACCCAUGGUUCGACAGCACAGCUAAGGAUAGAUGCUCUAAAAGUAGAAGAUACUGCCACCUACUACUGUGCAAGAUACACAAUGACUGAAUUUGGAAGUGUUCCUGUACAAUAUCUUGUAGGAGGCCCAGCAUAUCUUUUUGAUGGGUUUUCCUCCCCUCUUUCCAUGGUUACUUUCAGUUCCUCCUUUGAAGAGAGUUGGAGUCAGCCAAAUGCUCUCUAG